rnacentral:rRNA from 1 species
UUGAUAGCAAUUCACUCGCAAUCCGCCAGGGAACUACAAGCACUGGCUUGAAACCCAAAGGACUUGGCGGUGCUUUAGACCCACCUAGAGGAGCCUGUUCUAGAACUGAUAACCCCCGUUCAACCUCACCCUGCUUUGUUAUUUUCCGCCUAUAUACCGCCGUCGUCAGCUUACCUUGUGAGAGAUUAUAAGUGAGCAAGAUUGGUAUAACCCAAAACGUCAGGUCGAGGUGUAGUGAAUAGCAGGGGAAGAAAUGGGCUACAUUUAUCUAUAGAUAAACACGGAUCAUUUAUUGAAAAAUAAAGCUGAAGGAGGAUUUAGCAGUAAGAAGAAAAUAGAGAGUUCUUCUGAAAUAGGCUCUGAAGCGCGCACACACCGCCCGUCACUCUCCCCUAACAUCUCAUAAGAUUAAGUAAAACCCCUGAAAAAUUAAGGGGAGGCAAGUCGUAACAUGGUAAGUGUACCGGAAGGUGCACUUGGAAUAC